GAAGCCGGAGCUUGCUCUGGUGGAUUAGUGGCGAACGGGUGAGUAACACGUGAGUAACCUGCCCUUGACUCUGGAAUAAGCGUUGGAAACGACGUCUAAUACUGGAUACGAGCUUCAGCCGCAUGGCUAGGAGCUGGAAAGAAUUUCGGUCAAGGAUGGACUCGCGGCCUAUCAGGUAGUUGGUGAGGUAAUAGCUCACCAAGCCUACGACGGGUAGCCGGCCUGAGAGGGUGACCGGCCACACUGGAACUGAGACACGGUCCAGACUCCUACGGGAGGCAGCAGUGGGGAAUAUUGCACAAUGGGCGCAAGCCUGAUGCAGCAACGCCGCGUGAGGGACGACGGCCUUCGGGUUGUAAACCUCUUUUAGUAGGGAAGAAGCGAAAGUGACGGUACCUGCAGAAAAAGCACCGGCUAACUACGUGCCAGCAGCCGCGGUAAUACGUAGGGUGCAAGCGUUAUCCGGAAUUAUUGGGCGUAAAGAGCUCGUAGGCGGUUUGUCGCGUCUGCUGUGAAAACUGGGGGCUCAACCCCCAGCCUGCAGUGGGUACGGGCAGACUAGAGUGCGGUAGGGGAGAUUGGAAUUCCUGGUGUAGCGGUGGAAUGCGCAGAUAUCAGGAGGAACACCAAUGGCGAAGGCAGAUCUCUGGGCCGUUACUGACGCUGAGGAGCGAAAGCAUGGGGAGCGAACAGGAUUAGAUACCCUGGUAGUCCAUGCCGUAAACGUUGGGAACUAGAUGUAGGGGCCAUUCCACGGUUUCUGUGUCGCAGCUAACGCAUUAAGUUCCCCGCCUGGGGAGUACGGCCGCAAGGCUAAAACUCAAAGGAAUUGACGGGGGCCCGCACAAGCGGCGGAGCAUGCGGAUUAAUUCGAUGCAACGCGAAGAACCUUACCAAGACUUGACAUAUACGAGAACGGGCUAGAAAUAGUCAACUCUUUGGACACUCGUAAACAGGUGGUGCAUGGUUGUCGUCAGCUCGUGUCGUGAGAUGUUGGGUUAAGUCCCGCAACGAG
rnacentral:rRNA from 1 species